rnacentral:misc_RNA from 1 species
CCGAGUUUACAACUCCCAAACCCAAUGUGAACGUUACCAAACUGUUGCCUCGGCGGGGGUCACGCCCCGGGUGCGUAAAAAAGCCCCGGAAACCAGGCGCCCGCCGGAGGAAACCAACCAAACUCUUUCUGUAGUCCCCUCGCGGACGUAUUUCUUACAGCUCUGAGCAAAAAAUUCAAAAUGAAUCA